rnacentral:rRNA from 1 species
GACGAAGGGGAGCUAGCGUUGUUCGGAAUCACUGGGCGUAAAGGGCGCGUAGGCGGCCCGUCAAGCGUGUGGUGAAAGCCCGGGGCUCAACCCCGGGUCGGCCGUGCGGACUGGCGGGCUCGAGCACUGUAGGGGCGGGUGGAAUUCCGGGUGUAGCGGUGGAAUGCGUAGAGAUCCGGAAGAACACCGGUGGCGAAGGCGGCCCGCUGGGCAGGAAGGCCCCCUCACGGGGGCCGGCUGACGCUGAGGCGCGACAGCGUGGGGAGCAAACAGG